AGUUUGCGAAGAAACACGAACAAAGUCGCCGUCAGCUAGAACUUCAACAACGAGAAUUGGACGACAAGCGACAAAGAUUUGAAAAAGAAAAAGAGAUGUUCCAACAAAAUCAUAAUUCUGUAGUUGACGGACAUAACACGAAUUCACAAACCAAGUAAGUUGAUUAUUUACUCUUUGAGGAGCGAGUUAUCGUUGGAGCGCAAGUUAUCGUGGCAUCCUAUCUGUGAUCCUAUAGUAUAAGUGUUGGCACCGCGGUUAUAACCCUAAACCACAGAAUACUAUACCGAAGGCCAUCUCCAUUGUUUUUUUUUGCGUAAGCGCUAUUCGUCAUGAUUCGUCACUCAGCAAGUACCGUAAACAGAAGCUGAAACCCCCCUGGAAAUAUUCAAAAUGGGACACGUCCAGGUGGGUGACUGCUUCUGUUUACGGUACUUGCUGAGUGACGAAUCAUGACGAAUAGCGCUUACACAGAAAAAAACAAUGGAGAUGGCCUUCUGUAUAGUAUUCUGUGCCUAAACCCCAUAGACUAAAUCGAUACAGACACAGAAUAGGAGGAACCUUACUGAAGUUCCAAUCAGGCAAAAAAGCGUAACCGCUGCCACGCCAUAAUUCGCCAUCAAAAUACACUUGCCAUGUUCCUAGCUGGUGAUCUUAUUAGAGACAUUCACCCCCUGAACGUCCACCCAUUUUGAACAUUUCCAGGGGGGGUGAAUGCUUCUCAUAAGCGCACUGAUACAGAUACAGAUAUUUCACAGCACACUCCCUAUCAGGGCUUUUCAGUGACUGGUUAACCACAUUGUGAAUAGAUAGAUGGAAGGCGGACUGACGUGAAGCAGACUUGCUCCAAGUCUCUCUUUCAUUGUCAUAUAGUAUCGAUCCACUAUAGUGUACAUUACUUGACGUAGCACGGAGAGGCGGAGCCAGAAAGAGAGACUUGUCAACUUCGGAAAAUCUCGGUUCAAAACUGAACCGAAAAUGCAAGACUUGCUUUAUUCCUUUAAUUGCUUUCCUUCAAUUUCUUUCUGUAUUAUUACUAUAAUGGAACUCAUGUUAUUUACACUGUGCUAGAUCAAUACAUAUAAACACUGACAGAAAACAAUUAAAGCAAGUCUUGCAUUUUCGGUUCAGUUUUGAACCUAGAUUUUCCGAACUUCGGAAAAUCUCGGUUCAAAACUGAACCGAAAAUGCAAGACUUGCUUUAUUCCUUUAAUUGCUUUCCUUCACUUUCUUUCUGUAUUAUUUACUAUAAUGGAACUCAUGUUAUUUACACUGUGCUAGAUCAAUACAUAUAAACACUGACAGAAAACAAUUAAAGCAAGUCUUGCGUUUUCGGUUCAGUUUUGAACCGAGAUUUUCCGAAGUUGACAAGUCUCUCUUUCUCGCUCCGCCCCUCCGUGCUACGUCAUGUAAUGUACACUAUAGUGGAUCGAUACUAUAUGGCAAUGAAAGAGAGAAUUGGAGCAAGUGUAACCGAGGUAUACUUUGAGCUUACAAAUGGCGCUUGAGCAGCCGCUAUUAGUCCAUACCUCAUUAAUGAUCUGCCCCCCCCCCCUGACCACUGACUAGGGACAUGGCGAUAGCAUUCCCACGGUUACGCCAAGGCCAAUGUAGGGCGGUCAACAUUUUUUCCAUUUAAGGGUGGGUUUGUGGAUCGGUCUUUUGUGGUCGGGGGCGCGUUCCCUGCGUCCUUGUGUAUCUUCAUGAGUAAAUACCGUUUAGUUUUUACAGAAAUGGCAAAACGAGAUGCAAACAAUCGCCAUUUUAAGCAGGCGUCAGAAAAUAUAAGUAUAUUUUCUGUUUCUAUAUAAUAGGACCAUCGACGGCCAUGGCAAGUUGGAUAAAAAGAAAAAAAAGGGAUUGUUUUAACGUCUUAUAUAUGGAAGUGAAUAACAUUGUAUACAUUAAUAUCCACUAACAUCCUGCAAUAUAAUAGCUCUGCUUAGCUACGGCGCAGAAAUGAACCUGGUAGUCAGCGGUCGUACAACUUUGCAAUGGUUGGAACUUCAUCUUGCAUGGAUAUUUUGAAUCCGUAUGACCGUAACCCUAAACCUAUCCCUAGCGGCUAGCCCCAACAAUCCCUAAUGAACCUUAAUGUAUAUGUACGUGUCCAAAAUAUCUGUGCAAGAUGAAGUAUAUUCCAUUGUAAUGGCAAAUAUUUUAUAUUAUAACAAAAAAGCUGCAUAAGCAACUUGAAUUAGUUUGAAUAGUCUGUUUUUUGUCAUUUAAAAGCAGUAGUAACUAGGCACGUGAGUGGCCUUUCCGGUAAUUACGUCACGACUAACACUGUUUUCGAAUUCAACUUAGGACCACCUUUAAUGGAAUGGAUUUUAAGUUUGUUUCUCACGGGCUAUGGUCAGAAAAGCAGAGAAUCCUUCGUCAAAAUCCAAAAUUCUUUUUUAUGCAUGUGUGUUGACGAAGGAUGUUCUGCCAUGUGUGUUGACGAAGGAUGUUCUGCUUCUCGGACUAUAGCCCGUGAGAAACAAACUUGAAAUCUAUUCCAUUUAAGGUAGUUCUAAGUUGAAAACAGUGUUAGUCGUGACGUAAUUACCAGAAAGGUCUAUUGGGUAGCAACAAUGUAAAGAACGAUAGCCAAAUUUUUCUAUUGUGAGCUUUAAACUACAGAAUAUUCAAAUUAAUCCAUAACGAAAGUAGUCCAUAAUAACAGAAUAAAGUAGAAAAUAGUGUAUUGGCAUUUAUUCCGGUUGAGAAGAUUACAGAACUUAUAUACAUGGUCAGUAUGCAUAUAUAAGGGUUGGAGUGGGCAGCAAGUUAAAUCCUUGUCGUGUCAGACGACCUUGCAAUCUGCAUUAUGCGUUGGGUCGGUCAGGAUCAGACAAAUGAACUUCUCACACAAUUGUUUUACAUUCAAGAAAAAAAUAUAAAUGUCAAAUGUGGAAUAAUAAAUCCUUGUCCUUGAU
rnacentral:lncRNA from 1 species